GUAAGAGCAAGAUGCAGCAACUUCGAGCUAGUUUAACCUGCGUCGUUGAACAGGACUAAUGUAAAAAUUGUUUUUGUAACUUUAUCAUCAUCGUCGCAUCGAAAUCUAGUGCUUAUCGCCGACAGUAUUGUACGUGGAUUUGCUAAGUGAACACGACGAAUCAGAACCGUCGUUUUUGGAAUCACCGUUCGAAUCGCCGAUGGAAUCGUCGUUCGAUUGCAGAGCGAGACAGCAACAAAACUGACACAUCGCUUUGACAUAUUUAACGUACACGGAACCGCCAAACUACCCAAAAUUGAGUUCUUUUGACGCAAUCCCAUAGUAUGGCCCAAUAAGCCAAAAUUUGAGUAAAUCGAUUAAACUCACGCUAGGUAGUUACCUUUACCUCCAGCUAAAAAAUAUACUCAAGAGUAAGUAAAUUCAACCCAAGACCACCCUCAUUCAACCCAAAUUUGAGUAAAGCCACAUUUACCCAAAAUUGGCUUAUUGGCCUCAAGGACCCCCGUUGGAUAGACGCAUCUCUGUUUAUUUUUGACAACAUCGAUGGGAAAGAGAGGGAAAACAACCUAAUUUUGGGUAGCGAGUUUAUUCGAUAUACUCAAUUUUGAGUAAAAUUGACCCAAAAAUUAGGUAGUUUGAAUUUUCCGUGUAGGAGCAACACGUGCGUGAUAUUCUCUCUCUCUGUUGGUGUGGUUUGUUUUGAUUCAAUCUGACAUUUCUUUUAUGCUGCUCAUGCUGCCGAUGCUGCCAGCUGAUGGUGCCCAAACAUGGAAGAGCAAGUAGAUCAGAUUUUGGAUAAAGUAAUGGCCACUCCUGGAAAUCUUGGCUGUCUCUUGGCGAACAAUCAGGGACUUUGCAUUGGCGUGUUCAGUAACAGAAAAAAUGAAGGAGCAAGAAGAACGACUCGUGACGCUGACCGAGUUAACGGUCGAUAUUUUAAGUGUACCGGUCGGAUUGUUGCAGUUUUUUAAGGUAACGUAUUUCAAUCUUUUUCCUUUGCGUUUUAACAACCGAUAUAUUUCAACAGAUUGAGUUUACGACGCAUCAAAGCUGGUCAGCUUUUGUGAAGCUCGCGUCACCGUGAUCUUCCGGAGAGAAAGCUCCGGCACGCAGAAGCCCGACGUCUCAGUAAAAGGCACCUCGUUUGCACCACGGAAGCGCCAGAAGCAAUAGUUUGCGAAAUUCCACCAGAGGCAGGCCCCCACUCUUCUUAAUCUACCGUCAGAAGUUCUCGUUCAUUCGCCCACACCGAAUUGCUGUUUCGUUUGGCCCGGAUCUGCUAACUCUGUCGGAAACCCGGAAAAUUGCUUUUGGAAUGAUCCAAGCAAUAUAAUAUAAUUUAUAUUAACGAUAGUUUCCGUUUCUAAAUAUAUACUUUUUUAGGCUGAAAA